ensembl:lncRNA
GUGGGAUAUUAGUUUUGGUCAAUUCUGUAAUAACUACAUCAAACUGCACUGAAUGUUUUCAAAUAAUUUUUGCAUUGUUUAGACGUUAACAAUUGUCAGUUAUUAUUAAACAGAAAUAUAACAUAACUGUUUAUUGCAUUUACUAGUGAAACUGAUCCCAUUUUGAAUGUCUCUGCAUGAGUUUACAAGUUAUAAUUAUGAGGAUGCAAAUGCUUUUAACAAGUCAGAAUCUCUUAAUUACAAUAAUGUUGAUAUGAAUGCACAUUGGGUACUGUAUGUCUGAAAUAUACCAGAUAUACUAUACUAUACUAGAAGGUCUGGUAUAGUGAGCACUAGUCACUGGGCUGAAAUAUGUUGUUUUGGAAAAAAAUACCCUGACCUUUUUGGUGGGCUUGACACCUCAGAACACACAGGGGAAACGUGAUCAUACAAAUCAUCCAGAUGUCAAAAUAUGGUAUGUGUCACAUGUGAUAUGGGUCUGCAUUUCUACACCACCUCUGUGCUAUAUGCAGGAGGUAUGAGAAGAGAGGUUGCCUUAUGCCCCAGUUCACAAUAAACAAUCUUUCAUUUUGUUUUGGUCAAGUCCUGCUGUCUCAUGCUAUUCCCUGGCUAGGAGUUCACAGUGUCCUUGAUAUGCUUGAGAAAACAAAAGGACAUUGUAGAGCACUCUUUGUGAAGUAUGUUUUGAGACAGAUUUCAGUUAUCAAAUUUUUUGCCACCAGAUCCAUGUAUCCAGGUUAAAUGGUCACUGCAGUCACCCGGAUCCAGUACGUAUCCAGCCCAAGUGGUGGAUCAGCACCUAGAAAGGACCUCUACAGCCCCGAAUGUCAGUGGAGACCAGGACAACUACAGUAGAUGAGCCCCAGAUACAGAUCCCCUGUAAAGACCUUGUCUCAGAUGACCACCGGGACAAGGCCACAGGAACCAGUUGAGUCCUCUGCACAAUCUGACUUUGCUGCAGCCUGGAAUUGAACUGCUGGUUUCGUCUGGCCAGAGGAGAACUGGCCCCCCGACUGAGCCUGGUUUCUCCCAAGGUUUUUCUCCAUUCUGUCACAGACGGAGUUUUGGUUUCUUGCCGCUUUCACCUCUGGCUUGCUUAGUUAGGGACACUUAAUUUACAGCGAUAUCGUUGGCUUGAUUGCAAAUAAUUGCACAGAUACUAUUUAAACUGAACUGAGCUGCAUGAUGACAUCACUGAAUUCAGUGAUGAACUGCCUUUGACUGUCAUUUUGCAUUAUUGACACUGUUUUCAUAAUUAAUGUUGUUCAGUUGCUUUGACACAAUCUGUUUUGUUUAAAGCGCUAUAUACACAAAGGUGACUUGACUUGACUUGACUUGAUGGACUCACGCACAAUUUUCUAGUAAGAAAAUACAACUUGUAUCAGGUCAAGAUGUAUCAA